rnacentral:rRNA from 1 species
CAAAGGUAGCAUAAUCAUUAGGGGUUUAAUUGGAACCUGGUAUGAAGGGUUGGACAAAGGAAAAGCUGUCUUUAUAUUGUAAGUUGAAAUUUACUUUUAAGUGAAAAGGCUUAAAUAAAUCAAAGGGACGAUAAGACCCUAUAAAGCUUUAUAAAUUAUUUAAAUUUGAUUGAUUUAAAAUGUAAAAAUUAAGUUUAUAUUAUUUUAUUUUGUUGGGGCGAUAUGGGUAUAAUUUUUAUUAACUGCUUAAGAAAAAUACAAAUUUAAAUGUGUAUAGAUUUAAAUGAUCCUUAUUAAAGAUUAAAAGACUAAGUUACUUUAGGGAUAACAGCGUUAUUUCUUUUGAGAGUUCAUAUCGAAAAAGAAGAUUGCGACCUCGAUGUUGAAUUAAAAUAUCUAUAUAAUGCAGCCGUUAUAAAAGAGGGUCUGUU